AGCACUGUGUGGAGGCCCUGGAUUCCAUUCCAGCACCACAAAACAAAAUAGAGUGUUGGAGAAAUUCUUCCCUUUGUCUACUACUUUGAUAAAAAACUGAAUCUUUGAAGCCCAGUUUUGUCAGGUUCAGUAUAAAAUUAUUUAUUCUUAUAUCUAUUGUCUUUUGAUAGUAAGUGCCUAUUCUUCUUUCCCUUUUCCCCUCUCAAUUUGUUUAUUCAAGUUAGGAAUCUUUUUAAACAAACUCUCCUGGGCCUCUAGGUGCCAGUUUUCUUUGCCAGGAUAUCCCUCAUGAUCUUCUGUCUGAUGCUGCUAUCUCCCCAGUGUCACCUUUGGGAAUUGUUGAGAUCUCAGAAAAUCUCUGAGAGGUAGAGAAGGCUCUAGGAAGUAAGAUGACUCCAGACUUGGAAGUUGUACUGCCAAGAAAAUUUCGAGGCUUCUUUGGGGCAACACCAGACCGGAAAACUGACCCUAAACCUUGCAAGGAGGGAAGGGGACUAGCCAUCCAGUGAAGAGCCUGCUGUGUGGGGUGUGUAGGACUCCUUUCACUCCCACACAGAUGCUGUGAGGUAGACUUUAUUUUUCCCAUUUGCUGAUGAAAACUUGAAGCUCAGGAAGAUCAUAAAGAAGCUCACUAAGUUGCCCAGGCUGAUCUUGAA